rnacentral:rRNA from 1 species
CCAGACUCCUACGGGAGGCAGCAGUGGGGAAUAUUGGACAAUGGGGGGAACCCCGAUCCAGCGACGCCGCGUGAGUGAAGAAGUAUUUCGGUAUGUAAAGCUCUAUCAGCAGGGAAGAAAGAAAUGACGGUACCUGACUAAGAAGCCCCGGCUAACUACGUGCCAGCAGCCGCGGUAAUACGUAGGGGGCAAGCGUUAUCCGGAUUUACUGGGUGUAAAGGGAGCGUAGACGGUGAAGCAAGUCUGAAGUGAAAGGCGGGGGCUCAACCCCCGGACUGCUUUGGAAACUGUUUGACUGGAGUGCAGGAGAGGUAAGUGGAAUUCCUAGUGUAGCGGUGAAAUGCGUAGAUAUUAGGAGGAACACCAGUGGCGAAGGCGGCUUACUGGACUGUAACUGACGUUGAGGCUCGAAAGCGUGGGGAGCAAACAGGAUUAGAUACCCCCGUA